rnacentral:misc_RNA from 1 species
CAUGUGGUUGUGUCGCCUACAAACAGAAAGGAAAAUAUUUACAUAUUGAGAAACUCUGUAAAAUCCGCCGAUUGUGAUCCGCGAGAGCAGAGUGUUGAGUUNNNUUCCAUUCGCUUCUUCCCAACCUCCCUCCUCGGUCACAUGCAACCCAGCUUCCAAACACCGCCCCACAUGAAAUACACUUCCCGUUCCACACCCUCCCAGACAUUCCUUGACAC